CCUACGGGUGGCAGCAGUCGAGAAUCAUUCACAAUGGGGGAAACCCUGAUGGUGCGACGCCGCGUGGGGGAAUGAAGGUCUUCGGAUUGUAAACCCCUGUCAUGUGGGAGAAAAUUAAAAAGAUAGUACCACAAGAGGAAGAGACUGCUAACUCUGUGCCAGCAGCCGCGGUAAUACAGAGGUCUCAAGCGUUGUACGGAAUCACUGGGCGUAAAGGGCGCGUAGGCGGUUUCUUAAGUCGUAUGUGAAAGGCGCCGGCUCAACCCGCGGACGGCACAUGAUACUGGGAGACUAGAGUAAUGAAGGGGGAACCGGAAUUCUCUGUGUAGCAGUGAAAUGCGUAGAGAUCGAGAGGAACACUCGUGGCGAAGGCGAGUUCCUGGACAUUAACUGACGCUGAGGUACGAAGGCCAGGGGAUCGAAAGGGAUUAGAUACCCGAGUAGUC
rnacentral:rRNA from 1 species